ACGGGAGGCAGCAGUGGGGAAUAUUGCACAAUGGGCGAAAGCCUGAUGCAGCGACGCCGCGUGAGUGAAGAAGUAUUUCGGUAUGUAAAGCUCUAUCAGCAGGGAAGAAAAUGACGGUACCUGACUAAGAAGCCCCGGCUAACUACGUGCCAGCAGCCGCGGUAAUACGUAGGGGGCAAGCGUUAUCCGGAUUUACUGGGUGUAAAGGGAGCGUGGACGGCAAGGCAAGUCUGAUGUGAAAACCCGGGGCUCAACCUCGGGACUGCAUUGGAAACUGUCUAGCUAGAGUGCGGGAGAGGUAAGUGGAAUUCCUAGUGUAGCGGUGAAAUGCGUAGAUAUUAGGAGGAACACCAGUGGCGAAGGCGGCUUACUGGACUGUAACUGACGUUGAGGCUCGAAAGCGUGGGGAGCAAACAGGAUUAGAUACCCUGGUA
rnacentral:rRNA from 1 species